UAACACGUGGACAACAUUCCGGGAAGCGGGGGAUAGCCCAGGGAAACUUGGAUUAAUACCGCAUGUGGUUUAGCUCGGCAUCGAGCGACGACUAAAGGUGGGGACCGCAAGGCCUGCCACUUCCCGAUUGGUCCGCGGCCUAUCAGCUUGUUGGUGAGGUAACGGCUCACCAAGGCGACGACGGGUAGCUGGUCUGAGAGGACGACCAGCCACACUGGAACUGAGACACGGUCCAGACACCUACGGGUGGCAGCAGUCGAGAAUCAUUCACAAUGGGGGAAACCCUGAUGGUGCGACGCCGCGUGGAGGAUAAGGUCUUCGGAUUGUAAACUCCUGUCAUGCGAGAGCAAGGUUUGAGGGUUAAUAACCCUUGGAUUUGAUAGUAUCGCAAGAGGAAGAGACGGCUAACUCUGUGCCAGCAGCCGCGGUAAUACAGAGGACUCAAGCGUUGUUCGGAAUCACUGGGCGUAAAGGGUGCGUAGGCGGCGUGGUAAGUCAGAUGUGAAAGGCAGGGGCUCAACCCCUGGAUUGCAUCCGAUACUGCCAUGCUAGAGUACUGGAGAGGUGUCUAGAAUUCUCGGUGUAGCAGUGAAAUGCGUAGAUAUCGAGAGGAAUACCAAUGGCGAAGGCAGGACACUGGACAGUAACUGACGCUGAGGCACGAAGGCUAGGGUAGCGAACGGGAUUAGAUACCCCGGUAGUCCUAGCAGUAAACGGUGCACGUUUGGUGUGGGGGGAAUCGACCCCUUCCGCGCCGGAGCUAACGCGUUAAGCGUGCCGCCUGGGAAGUACGAUCGCAAGAUUAAAACUCAAAGAAAUUGACGGGGACCCGCACAAGCGGUGGAGUAUGUGGCUUAAUUCGAUGCAACGCGAAGAACCUUACCUGGUCUUGACAUGCAUCCUGUCGUCGGUGAAAGCCGGCUAGUGUAGCAAUACACGGGUUUGCACAGGUGCUGCAUGGCUGUCGUCAGCUC
rnacentral:rRNA from 1 species